rnacentral:rRNA from 1 species
GAUGAACGCUGGCGGCGUGCCUAAUACAUGCAAGUCGAGCGUAUGGAUUAAGAGCUUGCUCUUAUGAAGUUAGCGGCGGACGGGUGAGUAACACGUGGGUAACCUGCCCAUAAGACUGGGAUAACUCCGGGAAACCGGGGCUAAUACCGGAUAACAUUUUGAACCGCAUGGUUCGAAAUUGAAAGGCGGCUUCGGCUGUCACUUAUGGAUGGACCCGCGUCGCAUUAGCUAGUUGGUGAGGUAACGGCUCACCAAGGCAACGAUGCGUAGCCGACCUGAGAGGGUGAUCGGCCACACUGGGACUGAGACACGGCCCAGACUCCUAGGGGAGGCAGCAGUAGGGAAUCUUCCGCAAUGGACGAAAGUCUGACGGAGCAACGCCGCGUGAGUGAUGAAGGCUUUCGGGUCGUAAAACUCUGUUGUUAGGGAAGAACAAGUGCUAGUUGAAUAAGCUGGCACCUUGACGGUACCUAACCAGAAAGCCACGGCUAACUACGUGCCAGCAGCCGCCGUAA